rnacentral:rRNA from 1 species
UACGAAGGGGACUAGCGUUGUUCGGAAUUACUGGGCGUAAAGCGCACGUAGGCGGAUUUGUAAGUCAGGGGUGAAAUCCCGGGGCUCAACCUCGGAACUGCCUUUGAUACUGCAAAUCUCGAGUCCGAUAGAGGUGGGUGGAAUUCCUAGUGUAGAGGUGAAAUUCGUAGAUAUUAGGAAGAACACCGGUGGCGAAGGCGGCCCACUGGAUCGGUACUGACGCUGAGGCACGAAAGCGUGGGGAGCAAACAGG